AAAAAAAAAAAAAUGAGAGCCAUCUCUAUAGGGAGCCCUUGGAGCAUUGAGGCGGUGGCCAUGGCUCCCUCUGGUCUCCAAGUAGCUUACUUUAUUUUGCAACCUUGAUCUUUUGCAUUGAUGCUGCAUUCUAUCUCAUCAACCACAUAUUGGGCUACGAACCAAAAUCAGUAACUUCUUGUGCAUAAAAGAAAUCUUCUCAUUACAUAUAAUCAAUGCAACUGAGAUUCCCAAAUCGUUUUAAAACUAACAAAUUUAUAAUCUUGCAAAUUUUAAACAACACAUCAAUAUUGCUGUUCAGUUUAAUUUUUGCACAAUUUCAGAGGCCAUAUGAUAUCCCUUUCAAUUUUAUCAGCUUAAAAAUAAAUUUAAAAAAAAGAAAACAAGCUAUGAAGGAUACUAUGAGAUACAAAAUUCGUAACUAUAAAUGAAAUAUACAAAAUUAAGUGAAAAAGGUAAGCGAAAUUGAAUAAAA
rnacentral:misc_RNA from 1 species